GACGAACGCUGGCGGCGUGCUUAACACAUGCAAGUCGAGCGGUAAGGCCCUUUCGGGGGUACGACGAGCGGCGAACGGGUAGGAGUAACAACGUGGGUGGACCUCGCCCUCCAGCUCUGGGAGUAAAGCCCGGGGAAACCGUAGGGUCGUAAUAACCGGAUAUGACUUCAUGACGCAUGUUGUGGAGUGGAAAGCCUUGUGCGGCU
rnacentral:rRNA from 1 species